UCAAACGCGUCACAGUCACGGGUUUUUAAACUUCCACCGGUUCUUGUCCGAUCACCGAAGUUAAGCAACGUCGGGUGUGGUUAGUACUUGGAUGGGUGACCGCCUGGGAGCAUCGUGUGUCGUUUGCU
rnacentral:rRNA from 1 species